CAGGGAAUAGUUUAAUUAGAAUUUCAGCUUUGGGAGUUGAUGGUGGAAUAGAGUUUUUCUUCCCUGA
rnacentral:tRNA from 2 species